AAGCAAAAAUAUGAACCUCUUGGACUAGAUGCUGCAGGAAUCGAAGAAGCUAUAACUGCUGUGGGUUCUUUUAUACUCAAGGCAAAUGAACUUCUUCAAGUUAUAGAUAGUAGUAUGAAAAACUUCAAAGCAUUUUUUCGGUGGCUUUAUGUGGCAAUGUUGAGAAUGACAGAAGACCAUGUGCUUCCCGAGCUGAAUAAGAUGACUCAGAAAGAUAUCACAUUUGUUGCUGAAUUUCUUACUGAACAUUUCAAUGAGGCUCCAGACCUUUAUAAUCGAAAAGGAAAAUACUUUAACGUUGAAAGAGUUGGUCAGUACUUGAAAGAUGAAGAUGAUGAUCUUGUGUCACCCCCUAACACAGAAGGAAAUCAGUGGUAUGACUUUCUUCAAAAUAGCAGCCACCUUAAAGAAAGUCCUUUGCUGUUUCCUUAUUAUCCUCGAAAAUCAUUGCAUUUUGUGAAAAGGCGGAUGGAGAAUAUUAUUGAUCAGUGUUUGCAAAAGCCAGCAGUAAGUUUGAAAGAAAUGCAUGUCUUUGUGUAGGAGCAAUAGUGUCUACAGUAUGUGGCUCACUUAUGUAAAUGAUCUUAAUUUUUAGAAUGAACUAUGAAAAUGUUGAUAUUCAACUGUUUUUGAUUA
rnacentral:sRNA from 1 species